rnacentral:rRNA from 1 species
GAUGAACGCUGGCGGCGUGCCUAAUACAUGCAAGUCGAGCGAACAGACGAGGAGCUUGCUCCUCUGACGUUAGCGGCGGACGGGUGAGUAACACGUGGAUAACCUACCUAUAAGACUGGGAUAACUUCGGGAAACCGGAGCUAAUACCGGAUAAUAUAUUGAACCGCAUGGUUCAAUAGUGAAAGACGGUUUUGCUGUCACUUAUAGAUGGAUCCGCGCCGCAUUAGCUAGUUGGUAAGGUAACGGCUUACCAAGGCGACGAUGCGUAGCCGACCUGAGAGGGUGAACGGCCACACUGGAACUGAGACACGGUCCAGACUCCUACGGGAGGCAGCAGUAGGGAAUCUUCCGCAAAGGGCGAAAGCCUGACGGAGCAACGCCGCGUGAGUGAUGAAGGUCUUCGGAUCGUAAAACUCUGUUAUUAGGGAAGAACAAAUGUGUAAGUAACUAUGCACGUCUUGACGGUACCUAAUCAGAAAGCCACGGCUAACUACGUG